GAUGAACGCUGGCGGCGUGCCUAAUACAUGCAAGUCGAGCGAAGCGGGGACGGGUGAGUAACACGUGGAUAACCUCCUAUAAGACUGGGGUAACUUGGGGAAACCGGAGAUAAACCGGUUAUUUAGAGAUGGAUCCGCGCUGCAUUAGCUAGAUGGUAAGGUAACGGCUUACCAAGGCAACGAUGCAUAGCCGACCUGAGAGGGUGAUCGGCCACACUGGAACUUAUACACGGUCUAGACUCCUACGGGAGGCAGCAGUAGGGAAUCUUCCGCAAUUGGCGAAAGCCUGACGGAGCAACGCCGCGUGAGUGAUGAAGGUCUUCGGAUCGUAAAACUUUGUUCUUAGGGAAGCGGUACCUAAUCAGAAAGCCACGGCUAACUCCGUGCAAGCAGCCGCGGUAAUUC
rnacentral:rRNA from 1 species